rnacentral:rRNA from 1 species
AGUCAGACGGCCAGCACGGACUUCGGUCUGGUGGCGAGUGGCGAACGGGUGAGUAAUGUAUCGGAACGUGCCCUAGUAGCGGGGAUUAACUACGCGUGGCCAGCUAAUACCGCAUACGCCCUUCGGAAAGCGAGACCGGGCCUCGCACUAUUGAAGCGGCCGAUAUCCGGAUUGGCUAGUUGGUGGGGUAACGGCUCACCAAGGCGACGAUCCGUAGCUGGUUUGAGGACGACCAGCCACACUGGGACUGAGACACGGCCCAGACUCUACAGGAGGCAGCAGUGGGGGUACUGGACAAUGGGGAAACCUGAUCCAGCCAUCCCGCGUGUGCGAUGAAGGCCUUCGGGUUGUAAAGCACUUUUGGCAGGAGAAACAGCACGGGAUAAUACCCGUGCAACUGACGACCUGCAGAAUAAGCCUCGGCUAACUACGGUGCCGGCAUCGCAGUAGCCGCGGCGAAAGUGCAAGCGUUAAUCGGAAUUACUGGGCGUAAAGCGUGCAGGCGGUUCCGGAAAGAAAGAUGUGAAAUCCCAGAGCUUAACUUUGGAACUGCAUUUUUAACUACCGAGCUAGAGUGUGUCAGAGGAGGUGGAAUUCCGCGUGUAGCAGUGAAAUGCGUGAGAAUAUGCGAACACCGAUGGCAGGCAGCCUCCUGGGAUAACACUGACGCUCAUGCACGAAAAGCACGUGGGGAGCAAACGGGAUUAGAUACCCUGGUAGUCCACGCCCUAAACGAUGUCAACUAGCUGUUGGGGCCUUCGGGCUGCUUGGUAGCGCAGCUAACGCGUGAGAUUGACCGCCUGGGAAUACGGUCGCAAGAUUAAAACUCAAAGGAAUUGACGGGGACCCACGCAAGCGGUGGAUGAUGUGGAUUAAUUCGAUGCAACGCGAAAAACCUUACCUACCCUUGACAUGUCUGGAAUCCCGAAGAGAUUUGGGAGUGCUCUGCGAAGAACCGGAACACAGGUGCUGCAUGGCUGUCGUCAGCUCGUGUCGUGAGAUGUUGGGUUAAGUCCCGCAACGAGCGCAACCCUUGUCAUUAGUUGCUACGAAAGGGCACUCUAAUGAGACUGCCGGUGACAAACCGGAGGAAGGUGGGGAUAACGUCAAGUCCUCGGCCCCCUUAUGGUAGGGCUUCACCACGUCAUACAAUGGUCGGGACGGAAGGUUAUCAACCCGCGAGGGGAGCCAAUCCCAGAAACCCGAUCGUAGUCCGGAUCGCAGUCUGCAACUCGACUGCGUGAAGUCGGAAUCGCUAGUAAUCGCGGAUCAGCAUGUCGCGGUGAAUACGUUCCCAGGUCUUGUACACGCCGCCCGUCACACCAUGGGAGUGGGUUUUACCAGAAGUAGUUAGCCUAACCGCAAGGGGCGAUUACCACGGUAAGGAUUCAUGACUGGGGUGAAGUCGUAACAAGGUAG